AACGAACGCUGGCGGCAUGCCUAACACAUGCAAGUCGAACGAGACCUUCGGGUCUAGUGGCGCACGGGUGCGUAACGCGUGGGAAUCUGCCCUCUGGUACGGAAUAACUCAGGGAAACUU
rnacentral:rRNA from 1 species